AGAAUUGCGUUUAGCAAUUUGCGUAAGCGGACGAAAACUCUGCCGAACCAACCUUCCGUGCUCCACACCAAUACAUCGCUUCGCUAAUCCAAGGAAAAAAACACAACCUGAUUUGCAAACAGAUACUACCUGAUUGCAUGGUAGCGAUGCGAGCGAUGCGGGGCGGCGGCGACAGCUCAAUGCAGGGAGGCGUGGGCUCCGGCGGGACUUGCGUGGAUCUGGCGGAUGGCAGCCGGAUCGGAUCGACGACGUGCGGCUCCGGCGAGUCGGAAGGGCGGCGCCGGCGGCUGAGCUCCUCCAUGGACUGCUGCAGUUCCAGGGAGACAGAGCUUCGAAGGCCUAGCUUUUCGAUUCGGAGCCCCUUCUUCUGGCCUCUUGAGCACCGAUCCCGUCAUCGUUCCUCUUCUUAGACCCCCUUGACGUCCUGCUGCUGCGGUCUCCACGCCGUCCCAGUCUUGGCCCGGCCACCGGGUCUCCUCCUUCUGACCCUCUCUCUAAGGUUUUGAAAGGGAGAAGAGAGGUUGAACCAUGGGGAAGGGGGAAGAGGAAGGCAGCCGCUAAGCCGCCCACUAGGAAGCGGAUGGACAAGCUCGAUAUGGUCUUUUCCUGCCCAUUCUGCAAUGAUAGGAGCAGCGUUGAAUGCCGGAUUGAUAUGGAAACCUGAUUGGUGAGGCUAAUUGUGAAAUCUGACAGGAAAGCUUCAGCAGCCAGCACCACUGCAAAUGGCGGCUUCGGCGAGUCGGAUGGACAACGGCGGCGGCUGAGCUUCUUCAUGGCCCGCUGCAGUUCCUAGGAGAGAGAGCUUCGAAGGUGAGGAGAUAUAGAAGAACAGAAGGGAGAGGAGGAAGGGCAGGGGCGUGGCGGCCUUGACGGUGAACCUCGGGUUGCGACGGUCUCCGGCGAGAGGCGGCGUGGGGUGGCGGCGCGAGCCUACGGAGCGGCGGCGGCUUGGAGCUGCGGGAGCUCGGGCGUUUGGAUGCGUUUGGAUCGCAGGCCUAAGGUUAUGCAUAUUGGGUGGUCGCUUUCAUGGUUGGAGUGAGCAGCUUGGCCAGGUACCAUGCGCAACAAUCCCACGGAAUCUACCACCCUUCAUGGCUGCCAGAGCUGGUGUAGUGUGGCGAAGAUGUCGUCAAUUGUGGCGACACAAAUGGGUUUUUGGAGGAGAUUAUUUCAAGGAUGAUCAGUCAGAAGGACAAGAGAGGAUUAGGGGGAGUGUUAGGAUUUAAUUAAUAUUGUAAUUAAUGAGAUAAUCCUCCCUUGUAUAACUGAACGUGCGUUGCCAAUCCGGCAAGCGUCACGACGGUUUCCUCGCUCCAUAUCGAGUGGACGCGUCCCUUCGCUCGCGCCCCCUCCCGUUGUAUAUAAGGAUUGACCAUCAAUGAAAUUCUGACUGAUUGGAUUCAUUUUGCAAUCUGUCUAUUAACACCCAUCAUAAAGGAAAUUUCAUCCACACUACUAGAGGUCUUUUCAACGGUCCGUAGCCUGGCAUGCCUGCAUUCCAUUUCUACCUAACAACAAAGUUAAUUAACAGUAUAGCGCGUAUUAUUAUGGUCAAAGCCAUUCACCCAACCAGCUGCCUCUGGUAAUACUACACUACUAAGGUAGAUCAAUGCCCAAAAGGUUUGAUCAAUCAUGGCCCCUGCGUGAGCCUCUGCAGCUGGCUCGUGUCGCCCGGCGUCUCCAUGAGCAGAGGGGGAGCGUACUGCGCCUCCCCGUCGUGCUCCUCAGCAUCCUGGCAGAAGGACAGGAUUAUCGUCUCCACCGACGUCUCCACCACGCCGAAGAAGAGCUGAGCCACCACGUACCCAAGCGCCCAGCACAGCUGACGAACAAAAACAUAUACACA